GGGCUAGGCAGUGGCAAUGUCAUGCCACAAGGUCAGUGACAGAUGUUUCCUGGAUAAUGCCUCCUGAGGCCUUCCCUAUUUUCUUGAGCAAGCCUGUACCAGAGGCGAUGGGACCCUGGCAGUCAGAGGUCAUGAGACUUUCACACCAAGAUAAGACAAGGAAUUUAUUUCAAACUGUUUCAUUCAAAUGGAGAUGCAGGAAAAAGUCAGAGGGGAAAUGAGCUAAGAGUAAUUUUCACGGGCUCAUAGGUCACAGACCAUCAGUCAGGCAGCUGGCUAACGCAGUGGAGAGAGCUCUGCACCUGAAGGCAGGAAGACCCGACUUCAUACCCAGACUAACCACUUAACAGCUAUGUAACCCUUAGCAAGUCACUUUGCCUCUGCUUGCCUCAGUUUCCUCAUCUGUUCACUGUGCAGAGGAAGUGCUGAAUAAAUGCUUGUUGGCUUACAUCCAUCAGAGAAAAAGAAAAAGCAUUAGCAGAGUAAGGGGGUGAGCCCAAAGGAUGGAGGCUAUCCUUACUUCUGGGAACUCUAUUCCCCUAGAAGUCUGUCCAUGGAGCAGCAGCUUUUAGCAGGCCCAUUUUAGAAGAACAAAGGAAAUCUCACUGAGGAUCAAGACACAGGAGACCAGGUGGUGAGGUAGAAGAUCAGUGGUGCAAUGAGAGACCAGGCAUGGAAGACAGAUGAACGUGGAGGAGCAAGGGACCUGCAAGAGAUUAAGCUUCUCACUGGAAAGCUCCCUCCUGGCAGCUCUGGACACCCAUGCAGAUGAGCCUUUCUUGACAUUGUCAGAUGUUACAUCAGGCAUCUGGGGCUAUCUCUGGUCGUCUUGAUGUGUAUCUGGUCACUGGACCCAGAUGGCUCCAGAGGAGAAAAUGAGGCUGGCAACUUUGCACCCUCCCUCACUUAAAUACACUUCACCUGCAUGGCAUGGUGUCAACUCCCCAAUGUCCUGGUCCUCUGCAAGAAUGAGGGUCCCAACACUGUCCCCCAUCCCCCAAACAGAUGAACAAUCAGACCAAACAACUACAGAGAGUGUUUCAUACACACAGGCGAGGGCCAGCAAACACUCAGGAAGAUUUUGCUGAGUCGCAUAGAAUUGACAGCAGUACAGGAGGUCUUCAGUAUCCUGGGCACCUUUGAACACCGAAGACCCUGCAUGGUCGAGGUAUCUAGAAUGAGAAUGGAAUGAGACAAAAGGGAAACAGAGUCUCCUGAUGUAACUGCCAAUUGAGCAUUGCAGCCUGC
rnacentral:lncRNA from 1 species